GGCCUGAUAGUUCAGUGGUAGAAUUCUUGCUUUGGGUUGUUAAUCUAAAAUGUAAGAGGUCUCCGGUUCAAUCCCGGAUUAGGCCC
rnacentral:tRNA from 1 species